rnacentral:rRNA from 1 species
AUUGAACGCUGGCGGCAGGCCUAACACAUGCAAGUCGAACGAGUGGCGGACGGGUGAGUUAUGUCUGGGAAACUGCCUGAUGGAGGGGGCUAACUACUGGAAACGGUAGCUAAUCCCGCCUACUAUCGGAUGUGCCCCGCUGUGAUUAGCUAGUAGGUGGGGUAACGGCUAACCUAGGCGACGAUCCCGAGCUGGUCUGAGAGGAUGACCAGCCACACUGGAACUGAGGCACGAGCCAGACUCCAACGGUAGGCAGCAGUGGGGAAGAUUGCACAAUUGGCGCAAGCCUGAAGCAGCCAUGCCGCGUGUAUGAGGAAGGCCUUCGGGUUGUAAGGUACUUUCAGCGGGGAGGCGUUACCCGCAGAAGAAGCACCGGCUAACUCCGUGCCAGCAGCCGCGGUAAUAC